GACUCUAGUCCGACUUUGUGAAAUGACUUGAGAGGUGUAGGAGAAGUGGGAGUUGGAAACAGAGGAACUGAAAUACCACUACUUUUAACAUUAUUUUAGUUAUUCCGUGAAUCGGAGGCGUGGUGCAGCCCCUAUUUUUGGACCCAAGGUCGGCCUCAGUCGGUCGAUCCGGGCGGAAGACAUUGUCAGGUGGGGAGUUUGGCUGGGGCGGCACAUCUGUUAAUAGAUAACGCAUGUGUCCUAAGAUGGGCUCAACGAGAACAAAAAUCUUGUGUGGAACAAAAGGGUAAAAGCUCGUUUGAUUCUGAUUUCUAGUACGAAUACUGUUAGGUAUCAGUGACAGAA
rfam:Lupinus angustifolius cultivar Tanjil chromosome LG20, whole genome shotgun sequence.